rnacentral:rRNA from 2 species
GAUUCCCCUAGUAACUGCGAGUGAAGCGGGAAAAGCUCAAAUUUAAAAUCUGGUGGUCUCCGGCCAUCCGAGUUGUAAUCUAGAGAAGUGUUACCCGCGUCGGACCGUGUACAAGUCUCCUGGAAUGGAGCGUCAUAGAGGGUGAGAAUCCCGUCUUUGACACGGACCCCCGAGGCUUUGUGGUGCGCUCUCAAAGAGUCGAGUUGUUUGGGAAUGCAGCUCAAAAUGGGUGGUAAAUUCCAUCUAAAGCUAAAUAUUGGCGAGAGACCGAUAGCGAACAAGUACCGUGAGGGAAAGAUGAAAAGAACUUUGGAAAGAGAGUUAAACAGUACGUGAAAUUGCUGAAAGGGAAACGCUUGAAGUCAGUCGCGUCGGCCGGAAAUCAGCCUUGCUCUUGCUUGGUGUACUUUCUGGUUGACGGGCCAGCAUCAGUUUUGACCGGUGGAUAAAGUUGUGAGGAAUGUGGCAUCUUCGGGUGUGUUAUAGCCUCNCUUCGUAUACAUCGGUUGGGNCUGAGGAACUCAGCACGCCGAAAGGCCGGGGUUCGCCCACGUUCGUGCUUAGGAUGUUGGCAUAAUGGCUUUAAUCGACCCGUCUUGAAACACGGACCAAGGAGUCUAACAUGCCUGCGAGUGUUUGGGUGGAAAACCCGGACGCGCAAUGAAAGUGAAAGUCGAGAUCCUUGUCAUGGGGAGCAUCGACGCCCGGACCAGAAGUUUACGGACGGCCUGCGGUAUAACAUGUAUGUUGGGACCCGAAAGAUGGUGNNCUAUGCCUGAAUAGGGUGAAGCCAGAGGAAACUCUGGUGGAGGCNCGUAGC